GAGUUGUGGUUCAUUGGUACAGCGCUUGCCUGGCAUGUGUGAGGUCCUGGGUUUGAUCCUCAGUAAUGCA
rnacentral:tRNA from 1 species